GAAAAAACAAAGAAACAGUAGAAAAUAAACCAGAGAUUAAAGAGAGUUCGUGUAGGGUGCAAGCGAAUAUCGAAAGUUUAUGGACAACGACUGUGGAGUCGGACCGGAGAAAUGAUGUAGACGGUCCCGUCUUGGCGCGUUAAGCAAAAAAGGGUGUGCUUAUGCACAAAAUUGGAUGGUACCGCGGUUUAGAUCGUUCCGAUA
rnacentral:ncRNA from 1 species